AGGUGGUUCCCGCGAAUCAUGGGAAGGUAUGGUUUGUUCUGGCCUUUUGCCUUUUGGAUCAAGGGCAGCACGUAUCUGGUCACGGACAAAGUCUUUCAUAUCUUCAUGCAUUGGAUACAUUUGGUCUUCCAGCUCCUUCAAAGACCUCCUCAUUUCAACAAUAAACCUCUCAGGCACAGGCUCUCCAAAACAAUCCUCAGCAGUCUCUUCUUUAUCACAGUCCAUUUCAGAUUUCUGUUUUUUCAUAACAGGUUCUUUAGGGCUCGGGCCCGGUGCAUUUCGUUUCCUCUUAACAUCUACAAUAGACCAGUUGCUGCUAUUAAUUGGUUUUCUUCUAGGUGCAAUACCAA
rnacentral:sRNA from 1 species